rnacentral:rRNA from 1 species
CCUACGGGUGGCAGCAGUAGGGAAUAUUGCUCAAUGGGGGAAACCCUGAAGCAGCAACGCCGCGUGGAGGAUGAAGGUUUUAUGAUUGUAAACUCCUUUUGUUAGAGAAGAUUAUGACGGUAUCUAACGAAUAAGCACCGGCUAACUCCGUGCCAGCAGCCGCGGUAAGACGGAGGCUGCACGCGUUACUCGGAAUCACCGGGCGUAAAGAGUGCGUAGGCGGGGUAAGAAGUCAGAGGGGAUUUCCUGUAGCUUAAAUACAGAACUGCAUUUGAAACUGUUACUCUGGAGUGUGGGAGAGGUAGGUGGAAUUCUUGGUGUAGGGGUAAAAUCCGUAGAGAUCAAGAGGAAUACUCAUUGCGACGGCGACCUGCUGGACCAUUACUGACGCUGCUGCACGAACGCGUGUGGAGCAAACAGGAUUAGAUACCCGUGUAGUC